rnacentral:rRNA from 1 species
AUGCCCCCCCGGACUCUUGAUGAGCACAUCUUGAGCAUCGAGGCUCGCCUUCGGCCGGCUCACCGGAUGCUGCGCCGGCUUCAGCGCGUCGGUGCCCAGGCGAUUUCCGCCCUUUGGCCGGAUAUGCAGGCUCCGCGCACCCCCAGCCUGACGGCCAACUGGUUGGAGGUCACGGCUGGUCGCCUCGAGGCCUGGAAGGGCUCUUCGGCCCGGGCUGGAGCGCGCCGGGCCUUGGAGUUCGUCAAGGCAUGGUACCCGGGGCUGGAUUUAGACCGGUUGGCCAUGCUUCGAUCGGAGGCCCAGCCAGAGAUGGCCGCUGUAGAAGACGCCCUCGUCAAGCGUGCUGCGGCGAUCGCCGAGUACACUGACACGAGCAUCUUCGUCCCCGAGCGGUCUGAAGACGGCGAGGAGGUACCGCCGGAGUGGUUUGGGAUGAACCCAGACUACGGCGAAGACUUGGUGGAGGUGAUUGGCUCCAGUGUCGAGGAGGAGGACGAGGCGGAGGAUGAGGGCGAGGCGGAGGCACCAGAAGACGGAGCAGACGGCCAGCCUCAGCCCGACCGCGCCUCCAGCAACGAGCCACGUGCGACCGACCCGACUGCUGCUGGAGGCGAUCAAGCCGAGACUAGCCGGCUGACCGCCCCGACGCCUGAUGCUGGCGCCUCCUCCGACCCCCCGAAUCCGUCUUCCGCCUCCUAA